rnacentral:rRNA from 1 species
UACGUAAGGUCCGAGCGUUGUCCGGAAUCAUUGGGCGUAAAGGGUACGCAGGCGGCAAAGCAAGUUAGAAGUAAAAUCCUAUAGCUCAACUAUAGUAAGCUUAUAAAACUGUCAAUCUUGAGUGAUGGAAGGGAAAGUGGAAUUCCUAGUGUAGCGGUGGAAUGCGCAGAUAUUAGGAGGAAUACCGGUGGCGAAGGCGACUUGCUGGACAUCAACUGACGCUGAGGUACGAAAGCGUGGGUAGCAAACAGG